ACGAUGACUGACGUCCUCCCUACAGUAAUCCUGAGAUCUCUGAAGCAAGAGUUGAUGGAGACAAGAGGCCUCCCUCCCUAGAUGAUUUCUAUGGCAAAAGUGCAGUUGCACACACACCGCUUCGUGUACCCUGCUGAUAUAACUUAAGUGAUGUGAUAUGAAAGCAGCAAAUACCCCACAUCACAGCCAUUAUUAUUAUUUCAGUCAAAAUAUUGCAUGUACCUGUGCCUGCUGAUCCUCUACUGGUCCGGGUUUGAUUCGCAUAAUCAAUAACUGUGCAAGAACGGCGAUACUGUGGAUCCGGCUGAAAGAUAAGGUGCCGAACAACUUUACAUCGACAAACCUGGGCAGAUUUGAAAUGGGGAUUUAGGACUUAAAGGUUCUGUACCAAUCACUUGAGCCAUCCAGUUCUCCAUUAAGUAUUUAUAAAUGCUAACAGCUAAAGCAAAAUCUACCAAACAAUCUCUCUGGAUCUACAUACUAUUUGGAUACAUUUGCCACUUUUUACCCAAAAUGCAUGUGUCGUAUUAGGCCUGGAGAAAUGAUCAGGUAAGAAAAGCCUCUCCUGUGGCUGCUGAUGGUUAAUCUCAUCUUCCAUUGCACUCUGAGCUCGACUGGAAUUCCCUCGGGGAUCCUACAUCAAAGUACAGGAAAAUUAACAAUCAGACUAUUUUUGAUUGUGACUACUUUAAAGAUAAAAUCUUGGAAUCAGAGUCUAAUCAUCUAUGAGCAUCUUCACAGGAAACAGAAAAUGGUUCCUACUUUCACUGGGUCUGAAAAGCACUCAACUUUGUUCCAGUUUGUUGGUCAAAACUCAUGAUCUUAUUUUUGUAUUACAGCAUUUUAUUGUCUUAUCAUAACUAUGAGGAAGAACUUCUAAGAACAUCAGGAUAAUUUGGAUAACAACAAAAAUAUAAACCAAAAAUAAAAAUACAAUAAAGAAUUCUUGAAUUUGCCAAUGCAA